GUAAUUCACUUGCAAGUGAAUGAGUCGACCUCUUUAAAUCCGUAUUCAUGUGAACUUCAAUUCAACCCCUAGCUAGAGAUUGACAACGCAUGCAUUGUACGUGUACUGGUUAUUUAAAGAAAAAGAAUGUCAACAAUGAAAGUGAAACUACGGUAAAUCAUUUGAUUACUAAUUUGAUGCACAUAAAAUCAUUCUGAUACGGUUAGAAACAAUGAGAAACAUCUAUUUUUAAUCUAUAAAAUCAAAUCAAACAGACCUAUAAAAAUCCAAUUGCACGUGUUGGUUUAAUCUAUUCAUAUCUUUAUUUUAUGUUUUUAUCGCUUAUAUGCUCAUCUGAGGUCAAAUCGAUACUUAAUUAGAUGGCGUCUGGACUAAAAUACACACGAAACGAACAUAUAUAUUAUCUACCCCA
rnacentral:lncRNA from 1 species